CCUACGGGAGGCAGCAGUAGGGAAUCUUCCGCAAUGGACGCAAGUCUGACGGAGCMACGCCGCGUGAGUGAUGAAGGYUCUCGGAUCGUAAAGCUCUGUUGCCAAAGACCGAACAAGGCUAGGAGAGUAACUGCGCUUAGUGUGACGGUAUUUGAGAAGAAAGCCCCGGCUAACUACGUGCCAGCAGCCGCGGUAAU
rnacentral:rRNA from 1 species